rnacentral:rRNA from 1 species
GACGAACGCUGGCGGCGUGCUUAACACAUGCAAGUCGAACGGAAAGGCCCUGCUUUUGUGGGGUGCUCGAGUGGCGAACGGGUGAGUAACACGUGAGUAACCUGCCCUUGACUUUGGGAUAACUUCAGGAAACUGGGGCUAAUACCGGAUCGGAGCUCCUGCUGCAUGGUGGGGGUUGGAAAGUUUCGGCGGUUGGGGAUGGACUCGCGGCUUAUCAGCUUGUUGGUGGGGUAGUGGCUUACCAAGGCUUUGACGGGUAGCCGGCCUGAGAGGGUGACCGGCGACAUUGGGACUGAGAUAGGGCCCAGACUCCUACGGGAGGCAGCAGUGGCGAAUAUUGCACAAUGGGCGGAAGCCUGAUGCAGCAACGCCGCGUGCGGGAUGACGGCCUUCGGGUUGUAAACCGCUUUCGCCUGUGACGAAGCGUGAGUGACGGUAAUGGGUAAAGAAGCACCGGCUAACUACGUG